UACGUAGGGGGCAAGCGUUGUCCGGAAUUAUUGGGCGUAAAGAGCGUGUAGGCGGUCCGGUAAGUCGGCUGUGAAAGUCCAGGGCUCAACCCUGGGAUGCCGGUCGAUACUGCCGGACUAGAGUUCGGAAGAGGCGAGUGGGAAUUCCCGGUGUAGCGGUGAAAUGCGCAGAUAUCGGGAGGAACACCUAUGGCGAAGGCAGCUCGCUGGGACGUUACUGACGCUGAGACGCGAAAGCGUGGGGAGCAAACAGG
rnacentral:rRNA from 1 species